UACGAAGGUGGCAAGCGUUGUUCGGAUUCACUGGGCGUACAGGGAGCGUAGGCGGUUGGGUAAGCCCUCCGUGAAAUCUCCGGGCCUAACCCGGAAAGUGCAGAGGGGACUGCUCGGCUAGAGGAUGGGAGAGGAGCGCGGAAUUCCCGGUGUAGCGGUGAAAUGCGUAGAGAUCGGGAGGAAGGCCGGUGGCGAAGGCGGCGCUCUGGAACAUUUCUGACGCUGAGGCUCGAAAGCGUGGGGAGCAAACAGGAUUAGAAACCCCCGUAGUCC
rnacentral:rRNA from 1 species